GGUGGCACUACUGUUCUGUGUGUUCGCUGUGCUAACAGGUAGCCUUUUGUUAGACUAUUUUGUGUUUUGUAUUUACAGCAGGCUGUUCAUGUCUCCUCA